rnacentral:rRNA from 1 species
GAGUUUGAUCUUGGCUCAGAUUGAACGCUGGCGGCAUGCCUUACACAUGCAAGUCGAACGGCAGCACGGGAGCUUGCUCCUGGUGGCGAGUGGCGAACGGGUGAGUAAUGCAUCGGAACGUAUCCUGGAGUGGGGGAUAACGUAGCGAAAGUUACGCUAAUACCGCAUAUUCUGUGAGCAGGAAAGCGGGGGACCUUCGGGCCUCGCGCUCUUGGAGCGGCCGAUGUCGGAUUAGCUAGUUGGUGAGGUAAAGGCUCACCAAGGCGACGAUCCGUAGCAGGUCUGAGAGGAUGAUCUGCCACACUGGAACUGAGACACGGUCCAGACUCCUACGGGAGGCGGCAGUGGGGAAUUUUGGACAAUGGGGGCAACCCUGAUCCAGCCAUGCCGCGUGAGUGAAGAAGGCCUCGGUUGUAAGAC